GGAAAAACAGUGUUGACGUCUGCGGGUUUUGUAGGCAGUUAAGGGGUUAACUAGUUGUGACGUUCCAGUGUUUUGGCGGCUUUUAUGAAAUGGAGUCAGAGCUGAGCGCUGAGAGUAUGCGGGUGUACGGCGGGCUGGCGUCCGCACUGGAGAAACUGACCAAUGAAGCCUUGAUUUUGGCUGAGCAUCACAAACGGAUCAGAGAACAUAAUGCCUCCUUAACCAAGUUAAAUGCAAGCUUCAAUCAGGUCCAAUCAAGACUUGAACGUGUUGCAGCUAUAAAACCGGGUUUCAGCAAAAUGCAUAUAUGACAAAAAUUUGUGUUUUUUUUCUCUCCUAUGUCUGAAACCAGCAGGAUAUGUAAAAAAAACAAUAGGCAUCUCAACAUGUAACUGCUAUAUUAGCCUCUGCAGAGUUUGUAAGUGGAAAUAUAUUUUUUUCAUGAGAGCAUUAAAUAUAAUUGAAGUUAUGUGCUUUUCAUCUGCCAACCCAAUUGGACAAUUCUCCAACUUGAGCUUCAUACUGCUAGGAAAUUGUACCAAUGUGUUAUAGCUACCAUCAAUAUAUGGCUGGUUCCUUUAUGGCGUAGAAGUUAAAAAUGUAAAUACUAUAAAUUAAUUAUAGCUUAUAUGCAUAUCCUAUAAUAAUAAAAAAAAGCUGGCCAAUAUCUAAAGUACAUAACAAUCGCGCAAAAUGUAAUUUUUCUCACAGUACCAAGUAAUACCGCUAAUGCAUCAUAUCAGCCAAAAUAUCCAAUUAUACAACAAAA